rnacentral:tRNA from 1 species
GGGUCGGUAGCUCAGUCGGUAGAGCAGCGGACUUUUAAUCCGUUGGUCGAGAGUUCGAAUCUCUCCCGACCCACCA